ensembl:lncRNA
GCACGAAGGCCUGAAGAUGAAGAUGAAGAUGAAGCACGACACGCAAAGCAACCUUCUCUCAUCAUCCCAGUCCUCCAGCCCCACAGCGAGGUCCUCCAGCCCUUCCUCGGUCCUCCAGCCCCCCGAGCCAGUCCUCCAGGGCCACAUCCCAGUCCUCCCGCCCCACAGCCCAGGUGCAACGAACAGCUCAGGUUUUCUGCCUGAGUCUGAACUUCCCCACAUAUCCUGAGAGCCAGCCCCCAUCAGAUCUCCACGCCCAGGACGCCUUCCUGCACUGGGGCAAUGAACGCCUUCUGCAAUCUGGGGGCGGCCGAGCUCCUCCUGCCCCACACCCCAGACCUCCAGCCCCACAAGUUUGUCCUCCAGCCCCACGAGCCAGUCCUCCAGCCCCAUAAGUGAGUCGUCCACCCCACACUGACGUCUUCCAGCGCCACAUCCCAGUUCUCCAGCCCCACACCAAGGUCCUCCAGCCCCACAUCGCAGGUCCUCCAGCCCCACAUCGCAGGUCCUCCAGCCCCACAUCGCAGGNNNNNNNNNNNNNNNNNNNNNNNNNNNNNNNNNNNNUCCUCCAGCGCCGUGAGUGAGUCCUCCAGCCCCACGAGCGAGUCCUCCAGCCCUUCCCCGGUCCUCCAGACCGACGCGUGAGUCCUCCAAGGCCACCCUCAAGUCCUCCAGCCCCACGCGCUAGUCCUCCAGCCCCACAUCGCAGUCCUCCAGCCCCACAACCGAGUCCUCCAGCCCCACGCGCAGGUCCUCCAGCCGCACAUCCAAGGCCUUCCAGCCCCACAUCCGAGGUCCUCCAGCCCCAUAAGUAAAUCCAGCAGCUCCACCUCCCAAGUCCUUCAGCCCCACAUCCGAGGCCCUCCAGCCCCACAAGUGAGUCCUCCACGGCCACCCCGAAGUCCUACAGCCCCACAUCCCAGUUCUCCAGCACCAUCAGUGAAUCGUCCACCCCACACUGAUGUCUUCCAGCCCCACAUCCCAGUUCUCCAGCCCCAAAAUUGGGUCCUCCAGCGCCAAAAUUGGGUCCUCCUGCCCCACACCAAGGUCCUCCAUGGCCACCCCCAAGUCCUCCAGCCCCAAAUCCGAGUCCUCCACCGCACAUCCCAGGUCCUCCGGCCCCACAUCCGUGUAGGUCGGAGUGAAAAGGAAGGAGGAGAAGGAGGGAAAAGGAAUUCACAGGGGAAACGGGACGGAGGAGACGGGGGGAAAAGGGAAGGAGGAGAUGGGGGGAAAGGAGACGGGGGGAAAAGGGAAGGAGGAGAUGGGAAAAGGGAAGGAGGAGAUGGGGGGAAAGGGACUCCACAGCGGGAACAGGGACUCCACAGCGGGAAGAAGGGACUCCACAGUGACAAAAGGGCCAGGAGGCGGGCAGAAGGGCCUCGGCCUGCUUGCAGCUCAUCCCAUUGCCCCCAGCCCAGCCGUGCAGCUGAUCCCAGCCCCCUGCAGGGCCUCCCUGCCCUCAGGCGGAUCCGCACCACCUCCCAGCUGGGUGUCAGCUGCAAACUCCCCGAGGCUGCGCUCCGUUUUCCUCCAGCUCAGCCACGAAGACUUUCACCAGCACGGGCCCAGCACCGACCCGGGGGCGGCCCUGCAAGUGGGCGUCUGGAAAUCUGGCUGCCAUUUCUAGGGGGGAGAGGAGCUUCUUUUAGUAUCUGUGCACCCGGCGUGAGAUGAAGAAAGCGGUUGCAGUGUGGGUCCGAGCCGUUAAUGACAGAUGUUCAUUAGGGAGGCGGGGAAGGGGAGGACGGACGCCGCUAGGAAUUGGGGUCACGGCAGGGCGAUAGGAAAGGCAGGAAGGAAGAAGCGAGGGCUGUUGGUGGGAAGCAGGAGGGACGCGGCCGCAGCAGGGAUCCAGCGAGGCUCGGAGUUCAGCCUCUGCUCUGCAGCAGCGGUGGGGCGUCAGUGGACAACGAGGGCGGCGAUGAGGACGGUGACUGCGGUGAUGGCAGCCCCUUUUCCACACUUUCCAAGCGCUCGAGUCAGCCGCCGUCGGAGCGACGGCUCAGAGCCCAGGCGCUGGAGUGGCCUCUCCUUGCCACGGCAGCUUCUGGCUCUGGGAUCUCGGCAGAAACUCCUUUUUCCCACCUUCCGGGCCGUGCCAGCAGACCAGACGGAGCAGGGAUGCCCGUCCGCAUCCUGCUUUCCACAGCACACGGUGCCACCGUAGCCCGGUUUCCCAUAGCCGCAAACCCCAGUCCUCCAGCCCCACACCAAGGUCCUCCAGGGCCGCCCCCAAGUCCUCCAGCCCCACAUCCCAGCCCUCCAGCCCCACAUCCCGCUCGUCCAGUCCCAUAAUUGAGUCCAGCACCACGAGCGGGUCCUCCAGCGCCACAGCACGGUCCUCCUGCCCCACAAGCGAGUCCUCCUGCCCCACAAGCGAGGUCCUCCUGCCCCACAAGCGAGGUCCUCCUGCCCCACAAGCGAGGUCCUCCAGCCCUUCCUCGGUCCUCCAGCCCCCCGAGCCAGUCCUCCAGCCCUUCCCCGGUCCUCCAAGCCCCACGAGCCAGUCCUCCAGCCCCACAAGUGAGUCCUCCAGCCCUUCCUCAGUCCUCCAGCCNNNNNNNNNNNNNNNNNNNNNNNNNNNNNNNNNNNNNNNNNNNNNNNNNNNNNNNNNNNNNNNNNNNNNNNNNNNNNNNNNNNNNNNNGAGCCAGUCCUCCAGCCCCCCGAGCCAGU